AAAAGCUGCCUCCACCCAAAAUUCCAAUUUUCAGCAGCAAAAAAACCCACCACGAAAGUCUUCUUCCACGUGGCAAGCCACUUCGCUUCCCACCAUGGCUCCAUUAAAGAAUAAAGAUACUUCACCUCCUGCUUCAAUGCUCUCUCUUGUCUCUAUUAGCUUUAUCCAUCUUUGCCUGAUUCCGAUAAACAGUUGCAGGUCUUUCUCUGUGAAAAAUAGAAAAUUCUUUGUAUCUCUAUAGUUGGAGUAAUGAUAAGAGACAGAUACUCUUGAGAUUUUGGGGGUUUCGAGUAUGGGUAGUUUGGGCCUUGUUUUGGCGGUUUCUUUCCCUAAUAAACCGCCGUGCCUGUCCGGUCCUCACAGCUCACAUCACUUAAAUGGUAGAUUUGUAGGUGUCAAACGCAAUUUAAGCUCGAAAUGGCGAUCUAUGGCGUCUGAGCUGGAAUCUUCUUCCUUCGUGCCUUCUGUUGAUUCUGAUUCCACUGAUAUAAACGCCGCUGGGUUUUGUAUUAUAGAAGGGCCUGAAACGGUUCAAGACUUAUCUAAAAUGGAACUGCGAGAAAUUCGAGAUAAUAUCCGAAGUCGGCGAAACAAAAUUUUCUUGCAUAUGGAGGAGGUUCGUAGGCUAAGGAUACAACAGAGAAUCAAGAGUGCUGAACUUGGGAUUUUAAGCGAAAAACAAGAGAAUGAGCUUCCUAACUUUCCAUCAUUCAUCCCCUUCUUGCCUCCUUUGAGUGCAGAAAAUCUGAAAUUAUAUUAUGCUACUUGUUUUUCUCUCAUUGCUGGGAUUAUCAUUUUUGGCGGCCUUUUAGCACCCACCUUGGAGCUUAAGCUCGGAUUAGGGGGGACGUCAUAUGCAGAUUUUAUCCAUAGUGCCCAUUUACCUAUGCAAUUAAGGUAUGGUACAUGCGUUGGGUCCUUAUAGCUCUCCCUCUGUUUUUCUGAUUCUGGUUAUUCUCAGUUUGAUUUGAUUUGAUUUUACUGUCCCUGUGGGCUUCUGGUUAUCUCUACCAUGUAUUUUAUAUGGUUUCAUUUUGUCAAAACAACAUGGUUUUUAAGGUCCAUUUAUUUACCAAUGUAACUGCUGUAAAGUGCAGUCAGGUUGAUCCUAUAGUGGCUUCAUUCUCUGGAGGAGCUGUUGGUGUGAUCUCAGCCUUGAUGGUAGUCGAGAUAAACAAUGUAAAACAACAGGAACAUAAAAGAUGCAAAUAUUGUCUUGGAACUGGUGUGCCCUGGAUUCUCUGUACUCUAUCUUUCACCCUUGCGCUUUCCAUUUUGUGUCUGCAAACAUGUUUGUUUUGGCUCCAUUUUCUCUAGACAGGAUUUGGCUUUUUAUCUCUACUUCCAAGUACUUGUGCUGCCGUAGAUAUCAUUUUUUCCAUCCAACAAAAUUUUGAGCUGUAUUGCAAGUAGACUAUAUAUGCUUCUGAAAAUCUGAGUCCAUUUUUGUUAUAUAUGCUUGAAAGAGUUUAUCCUCACAGAAAUUUUAAUUUUGAUAUCUAUUAUAUAGAAACUCUCUCCUAUCUAUUCAAUGGCACUUUUAUGCUCCUUUUGUUUCUUGAGAAUAUGAGAUUAGAAAGUUAGCUGAACUUUUCCCAAAAACAGUUCCAUUAGUUUUCUUCGUAGCUUGGCAAAAUCUCUCCUAAUACCUUCAGGAAUUUUCUGCCUAUAUAUAGCCAACUUAGGUACUGAACACAUUGUUGCAAUUUAAUUAAUGUGCUAAUGAUCAUUCGUAUAGUAUUCAACUAAGCUGUUUAUUCUCUCUUUGGAUAAAGAUUGAACUUAUAACAGAUAAUUAUGAACAUGCACAUAAAAAAAUCACAGAGAAAGGGAAUGCACUUCCUGCACUUAUUUCCAAUAUGCACUGGAUAAAUGCAGGGUAUCUCGCUUGUGCUCGUUGCUCAAGCACUGGAGCGCUUGUUCUUAUUGAACCAGUUUCAACGGUCAAUAGUGGAGAUCAGCCACUGUCAGCACCCAAAACAGAAAGAUGUUCGAAUUGUUCAGGAUCUGGAAAGGUGAUGUGCCCCACAUGCCUUUGCACUGGAAUGGCUAUGGCUAGCGAACACGACCCGAGGAUUGACCCCUUCGACUAGACGUGUGUUAAAAUAAUUAUGUCACUAGAGUGGCAUGGCAGGUGAACAUGGCUCAUGGAUCGAUCCUUUGCUAGAAUGAUUCUUUUCUCUCUCUCUCUCUCUGGUCUGUGCCAUAGAUUUCCAUGGGAUAAGAAAAGACUUCAUGUCUCCUUAUCAUGUCCAUGUUUAUAGAAAAUUGCAACAUUUUUUUUCUCCUAUUUGUAUAUUUAAGCAACGAAAAUAAUACAUGUCUUUCAAUUUGAAAAAGUAUGGGAAGGGAUUGUCUUAUUCCUCUCGCUUGAUUAUGGUGGUCAUCAUAAAAUGGGUUUGUGGACAUUGGACGGACUUCCCAUUUAUAACUUUUUUUCCACUUAAGCAAGUGAAGAAUUUUGGC
rnacentral:misc_RNA from 1 species